UUUAUGGUGCUAAUAUCGCAUGUGACUAGACUACAAUUUUCAGCUUCCUGGAUCUUGAAUAAGAUACUUCCAACCGCAACUCGAACCCGGUAUUUUUCGCAUCCAGGGCGAACGUCUUAGCCACUUGACUACGAAGGCAUUUCGGUGAUUCAAGCGCCAGAUUGGCAACACCCAAUAUGUUUUUCGAUGAACGUAGCACCUUACAAAAACUGACAAAAGUCAACUAUUCAUUUCACAACACAGGGAGCACCCAACUAUUUUAACCUACCAUCUUGAAUAAAUCAAUGUCGUUAAUUUAUUUACAGUCAUUGUGCCAGUGUGCUAAAAAAUACUGAAGCAAAGGCUGCUAUUUGGCCGAUUCCACC